CCAUCUGAGGAACAGACAGACAGGUUAGUCCCAGGUUAUAGAGGAUCCAUCUGAGGGACAGACAGGUUAUAGAGGACCCAUCUGAGGAACAGACAGACAGGUUAUAGAGGACCCAUCUGAGGAACAGACAGACAGGUUAUAGAGGACCCAUCUGAGGAACAGACAGGUUAUAGAGGACCCAUCUGAGGAACAGACAGGUUAUAGAGGACCCAUCUGAGGAACAGACAGGUUAUAGAGGACCCAUCUGAGGGACAGACAGGUUAUAGAGGACCCAUCUGAGGGACAGACAGGUUAUAGAGGACCCAUCUGAGGAACAGACAGGUUAUAGAGGACCCAUCUGAGGAACAGACAGACAGGUUAUAGAGGAUCCAUCUGAGGAACAGACAGACAGGUUAUAGAGGAUCCAUCUGAGGAACAGACAGGUUAUAGAGGACCCAUCUGAGGAACAGACAGGUUAUAGAGGACCCAUCUGAGGAACAGACAGACAGGUUAUAGAGGAUCCAUCUGAGGAACAGACAGACAGGUUAUAGAGGAUCCAUCUGAGGGACAGACAGGUUAGUCCCAGGUUAUAGAGGACCCAUCUGAGGAACAGACAGGUUAUAGAGGACCCAUCUGAGGAACAGACAGACAGGUUAUAGAGGACCCAUCUGAGGAACAGACAGACAGGUUAUAGAGGACCCAUCUGAGGAACAGACAGACAGGUUAUAGAGGACCCAUCUGAGGAACAGACAGACAGGUUAUAGAGGACCCAUCUGAGGAACAGACAGACAGGUUAUAGAGGAUCCAUCUGAGGGACAGACAGGUUAGUCCCAGG